CGCGCCGCGCUCCCCGCCGGGCCAAUGGCGACGCUGUCCGCGCGCGGCCACCUGACCCCGGGAGCCGUUGUUAUUAGGCGCGGCGAGGCGGGCGGCGCGCUGCAGCGGGGUUGGGCUCUGGCCGGGAGUCGACUGAGGGAGCGAGGGCGGGGAGCGCGUGCGCGCGUGUGUGUGUGCGCGCGCGCCCGCGGCCAGUCCCGGGUCCCCGCGCUGCAGCCUCUCUCCCUCUCGCCUUCCGCCUCAGGCCAGGAUCCUGUUCAGCUCCCUCGGCCCUUCCAGCCCGCCUCCCUCGUGGGCCCUCAGAACCAGCCAAGGUGAGCUGCUCACCAUACCCACCAGUGCCUCCAAGAAAACACCUGCUUCCCGGGUUUCCCACUGAUGGGAGAAGAGGUUGGUUUCUGCAGACCAGCCCAUCCUUGGUCAGUCGGAGCCAAGACUGCACGUGUAGCCAGGCAGAGCUUUUAAAAGCAUGUCCCCACCAUAUUCUACAUUUCAGUCUCGUGCCUGUUUCUUCUUUUUCGUUUUGCUUUAUCACCUUUGUGAUGCGCUAAUGCCCGAGACACUGGCUGAAGCUUAGUGGAAUCUGUAUCAUGGAGUAUUAGCAUUCCAGCAAACAUGCAAUCCCUGUAGCUGACAAUAAAUUUGAUUUUGCACAAGUGGCAUUCCUUUAUGCUUUGCUCAUAAGGCAAUCUCUCAAGUGUAUCUUUUUUUUUUUUUUGGAGACACACACACAAAUAGUCUGGCAAAGUAAAAAUGGGUUACAUGAUGGGUUUUGUGCUCAGCAAAAAGAACUUGGACCAAGCAGAGACGCUGAUGUUCUUAUUUACAGAGGCUGCCGUCUGGGAAAUUAAUACCUGCUGUUGCGCAGUAAUUAGGAAAAUUUAGGACCCCUAGCGCUCCAACAUCUUGCAUUAAAGGUUGUAUGUCAUUGGUGUUCCCAGGAGAAUUCACUUGAUUUCUGUCAUUAAUAACAGGCAUAAGCCAGCGAGCAGUAGAAUAUGCAUUACAUUGAAUCAAUUGCUAUUUGUAUUCAUUAUGCAUGUCCUCCAUUUUGGGUCAUGAAAAAUUGAAAGACCAUUACAAGUAGAAAGAGCAUCAUGGAUUACAAAUGAUGUAACAGGAGUGGAAGUGCUAUUAAUUGGUCAAUUGUGCCCGUCAGUACAUUUAAAGUGAUUAAGGCAGAAAGAUUAGAAGGGACGGGAAUGUGCACGGGAAACAGAAGCCCAGAACACAUGCGUCCUGCAUGCCCAGAUAUAUGUGGCCAAACCCAGUGACAUCUGUUCCGAUACAGCCGCUCAACAAAUAUUUGUUGAGCACCUACCAAGUGCUCAGUGUAGCAGAAAACAAAAUGAAUGAAUCCCCUGGCUUCGGAGUCUUAUAUUCCAGUGGGGACGGGAACUAUAAAAUGGAGAGGUCAAGAUGUAGACCAUCCUCAACUUACGACAGUUCCACUUACAAUGGUGCAUCUUCCCAAUUUUUCAACAGAUGGGUUUGUGCUUUGAUCUUUCCCCAGCUGGCAAUAUCUGGCACCAUGCUGUGGAUCCUCAACAGCCACAACCGCCAGGGAGCCCCUCCAUCACAAGGAGAAAUGACCUGUGGCCUGCAGCAUGCUGUGUCACCAAGCCAGGAUGAUGGACAGGGAAGCCACGUGGAAGAAAUGGGUGUUUAUCCUGAGCAGCACUCUCGGCAGCAGUUAGAUUACAGGUGAAAAGAACGGGAAAAUGAGAAGGGCUACAUCCUCCUGCAGAGUGGUGCUUCUGAUGUGCUGGGAACGAUUCCUGGCUUUCGUCUGGAGAUAAAAGAGCCAUGUUGGCGAUCCUGCAGUCACCUCCCAGGAGGAAGCAAACCAGCUCUGAGAAAGUCCGGAUGGAGUCUGGGACCCUCACACACGAGCCGCGUGCGCUCCGGCGGAAGCUGCCCCUUCUUCCCACGAGGCGAGUGCCCAGGCAACCUCCGACACCCGGAGGAGCAGCGUCCAGGUCUCCAGGUGCCCGUCCCCCUGGCUGCCUCCUUGGAUUUCACCAAGGAUUUCACCGGUGAUGGCCUGCUGCGAUGGUCACCAUCUCAGAGAAGCCUCUUCCCUGGGAACAGCUGCAACCAGCAAGGUCAGACCUCAGGGAGACCCACCCGCUGCACCUGCGUCUCCCCGAAGCAGCGGUCUUCUGCCCCGGCUGCACCCUGGUGUCACAUGGGCUGCUGGAAAAAUGCCAAAAUCUGAGCUCUGAGCCCGGAGACCCUCACCGGGGAGAGGGGGGACACGGAUGUGGCCUGGCAGGGCUCCUGCAGCCGGGCCGGGCAGCAUGCUCCCAGAUCAGUGAUGCUGGUGGCCGAGGGGAAGGACUCGCCGUGACGGGAGAGGCUGUAUCAGUGAGUCCCCUGCACUUCCUGUUUCUCGCCCUAGAGCUGGCAUGGAGAAGGACAGGAUCCUGACGUCCUGCUCGGGGAAUGCCCGGCUUCCAGGUGCUGAGAGGCUCCGCCAGCAAACAAAGCGAGUCCCUGAGAGCAGGUCAGGAUGUGGGCGCAGUGGGCCUGGGGCUCUGCCGCCAGAGAGAGCCAGCUGGGAGAGCUCAGGGGUCCCAGGGGACCUUCAGAGCAGGAGAGUGGGGAAGCGCGACAGGAAGCCGGGCCAGGGUUCCACGGAGGCGGCGUCCUGGCCGCAGCCUGGUCUCUGCAGAGCCUGGCAGCACAAACUGACCCCACCCCCACCCCACGGCCAGUCAGAGCAGCUGCAGGUCUCUGCACUGCACAUUGGGGAGUCACUGCAGACUCUGGGAUUCCGCGAAGUCCCGGGGAGAGGGAGGGCUGUCCGCAGCACGGGGAGGUGUGUGCCCAGAGCUGGAAGGGCACCAGGGGAUCCAGCAUCUGCUACAUCCACAAGGAAGCUUUGUAUCCUCACCUACUAGCUUGGCACCCCCUUUUUUAAAAAAAGAUUUAUUUUUUUAUUUUAAAGCCAGAGUUACAGAGACAGGGAGGCAGAGAGAGAGCGAAAUUUUCAUCACUGGUUCACUCCCCAAAUGGCUGCAACAGCCAGGGCUGGGCCAGGCUGAAGCCCGAGCCUGGAACUCCAUGCAGGUUUCCCCCGUGGGUGGCAGGGGUCCAAGUACUUGGGCCAUCUUCUGCUGCUUUCUCAGGUGCAUCAGAAGGGAGCAGGAUCAUAAGCAGAGCAGCUGGGUCUGAACCGGUUCUUAUAGGGGAUGCCAGCGUCACGGCAGCAUCACAGCACCCUGCACCCCGGAGUUCUGUUGACACACCUGCACUGCCCUCCUCCCACUCACUGCUUCACUCCCAGUGCCAUUCCUGGUUUCCUUGCCGCGGUUGUUUUCUGUUUCUCGUUACCUUGGGAAUGGGAAGUCUGGGAGGUGAGGAGGAGGAAGAGGAUGUGACUGAGGGAAGUGAGACAAAGGGGCCUCUCUGACUCUGACCUGGGCAUCGGUUGGGCUCCUAGUGGUGGCCAGAGAUCAGGUCGCAGCCAGAAGGCGCCCCCAGCCUGGGAGCUGCCGCGUCACAGUCAGAAGUCUGGUGGCAGGUGCACCAGGGUCGGCUCUGUCACCCAAGGCUAUCAGGGCUCUUAGUGGCUGCUCUGCCACUCGCCUCGGCUUCCCUCAGCCCUGUGGCAGGGCUGCCACAGCCCAGCACCCUCUCCGAAACCUGGCAGGGAGGGCCUGGCUUCCCCUCAUGCCUCUUUCUCCCAUCAGAAAGGGAAGUGCUGCCCCGGCUCAGCCACAGAUGUCACUCAAGAGAAGGUUUGCUCAGGGUGGCACCACCUUCCCGUCUCUGAGUCUAAGGGAGGCUGGGGAAUGAGUGGCUGGCAUGCUGCCUGCUACUGCCACUCACUGCCACACGGGGGAGCUGCUGAUUCUCCCAUCACCCUCGCAGACCCUUCUCUGCCCUCUCUGCCUCGCCCCCUGCCCCAUGCCCCACGUCCCCGGAUUGGCCCACCCCCUGUGCCCUGGGAUUGCCGCCUGAGCUCAGCCAAUGGAAGACACCAGCAGGAGCUGAGCACGGCGGGGGCGGGGUUGGUUCUUUCCCGCUGAAGGCCACAGCCAUCCACGGAGGGGGGGGGCAGACACCACCCCUCCCGACCACCCAGGGCGCACUGCCUUUCCUGUGCCUCCCCUGCUCUUCACUGUGGAAGUUUCCAGAUCUGUCGAGAAGUCAGACACAGCCCUAGUGAGCCUACGACCCCUCGGCCAGGCACACUUCUGAUUAAUAUUUUGCCACAGCGCCUCAGUGGACAGAUAUAAAUAGAUAGGUAGGCAGAUAAAUAAUUCACGGAGCUGUACCAUUUGGGUUUUUCCUGAACCAUGCGAAGGCUUUAAAUAUUUUGACAUUUCACCCCUAAAUACCUCCACAUGCAUCUCCUAAGGCUAAAAACAUCCUGCCCCCAACACCUCAAAAUUAACAUCCAUUCAAUAAUAUCACUCGUUCUAUUUGUCCUUUAAAAAUGUUUUCUUGGUAAGCUCUGAUGUGUGGUAGUGUUUUGCUGCUGGCAGAGUCCUUAAAUAAUUAAACAUGAUUUCGGUUAAUACCACAGCCACCUUCUAAAGUCAUCAUCUCCCUCCUCUAAGUGGGGAAAAUAAGAAUCAGAGAGGGUGAGUGAGCCAACAGGGUCACACAGCUGACGAGCAGCAUGGCUGGGAGGCAUGGCUUCCAACCCUGAACCCACACACCAGGCCCAGCCCAUUCUUGCCAGAGCGCUCGGCGUUCUAGAACCUAGGCCCCCAAACGUGUCUCUCGUUUUCCCCUCUAACUUUCUCAUCCACCAAGAAUCACUGCAGCUUUGUCAGUGAUCCCCUAGGUGUGCCUGUGCCUGGUGUGGGAAAGCGUGAUUGAUGAUGUGGUGCCCUCCCCUCCCCCUCCUCCUCUCACUCCUCCCCUCCCCCUCCUCCUCAGCGGAGGAGCCUGGCCAGCCCUGCUCAGCAAUCGAGGGAGCAGGUGUCCUUGAGCCCAGCAAGGGCAGAGCCCACUUCUGUCCAUCGACAUCACGGCCGCCCUCCUCCAAGCCGACUUAACGCUUGCUGGGAAAAGGUAGCAGCCCCUUGCCUGGCCCCAGAGGCUUCGCCCCUCCUCCACUCAGCAGCCAGGGGCCCCAGGCCACACCUGCGCCCUCCAACCCGAUCCCUUCAGUAGUGUUCCCCACCUGGGAAUACGAGGCUGCUUCCAAAAGUUCAAGGAAAAUUAAAUUUAAAGAUAAGCUUAUUUUGGUGCAAAAAAACCCCAAACUCUGAAAUGCAUAGUUUUUGUUUUUUGUUUUUAGGGGCUGGCGCUGUGGCUUAGUGGGUAAAGCCGCUGCCUGCAGCGCCGGCAUCCCACAUGGGUGCCGGUUCUAGUCCCAGCUGCUCCUCUUCCGAUCCAGCUCCCUGCUAAUAUGCCAGGGAAAGCAGUAGAGGAUGGCCCAAGUCCUUGGGCCCCUGCAUCCGCGUGGGAGACCCAGAAGAAGCUCCUGGCUCCUGGCUUCAGAUUGGCACAGCGCCGGCCAUUGUAGCCAUUUGGGGAGUGAACCAACGGAUGGAAGACUGUCUCUGCCUCUGCCUCUGUGUCUGCCUCUGGCUCUCUGUAACUUGGCCUUUCAAAUAAAUAAAUAAAUCUUUUUUAAAAAAUAUUUUUUUAUUUGACAAGCAGAAUGACAUAGAGAUGGAGGCAGAGAAGGAGGGAGAGAGAGAGAGAUCUCCCAUCCAUGGUUCACUCCAUAAAUGACCUCAACAGCUGGGGCUGGGCCAGGCUGAAGCCAGGAGCUCCAACCAGGUCUCCCCGAUGGGUGCCAGGGCCCCAAGUAUUUGGGCCAUCUGCUGCUUUCCCAGGCAUAUUAGCAGGGAGCUGGAUCAGAAGCGAAGCAGCCAGGACUUGAACCAGGGCCCAUAUGUGAUGCUGGCAUUGCAGGCUGCUGUUUAACCCUCUGUGCCACAAGGCCAUCUCCCAGGCACAGUGUUUUUCCUAAUACACAUUUUUCAGAGUUUUCUGAAGACCCAUCAUAAAGCACAAGCCCUCUGCCCUGUCUGCUGUGGCCUCUGCAGCCGGCCCACCUCCAUCCCUGCUGACCUCGCCGCCUCUUCAUGCCGUGCUCCCCGCCCUACCCCAAGGUCGAGCCAUCCCUGCCUCAUUUUCUGCAAUCCUGCCCAGCUCCUCCUCCAGGCCUCUAGACCUGCCUCCUUCUCCACCUGCCAUGCUCUCUCCCCCAAUUCCACCCUGCAUGCAUCCUUCAGCCUCAGCUCAGGGACCAAAUCCUGGGCCCUGGGCGGACCCCACAGACUCUCACCCCUGCCCUGUCUCCACGCCGCCCUCAGCAUCUACACCUGGGUGCUCCUGGGUGGGGGCUUUCUCAUCAGUCCCCUCCUGCUUCCUCUUUAGGAGCAAGGAGGGGCCCCAGCCCCUGCCACCAUCCCAAGGCACGACCCUCCAGAGAGGGUGUGAGGCCCAGUGUAACCUUCUCCCCGCACCUGCUCUCACUGCACGCGGCCCUCCGUCCACCCACUCGCGGCUUUCCCGAUUACCAUCAAUUCCAUCAUCAAAUAUUUAUCGAGCAUAAUUCCCCACGUGGCAUUUUGCUGCUCACAGGUAUACCGUGGUGAGCAGAUUGCUGUCCUCGGGGAAGUUACCCGCAGGGCGGGAGAGGCCGAAUCUCACGGGCAGACAGAUACAUGAAUGUCGGGCUGUAGCCCGGGGGACAGAGCUACAGAGGACACCGAGAAGCCGGGAUGAUGGAGGAAGUGGGGGCAGAGUUCCCAGCCCAGCACCAACCUCCCUCUCCCUGCUGGAAGAAUCCCAGCUGCUGCGUCUUCCCUCCCGGCUCACACACGCGGAAUCUCAGAAGAAAUUUCCCUCACCCCCAGCUCAGGGCUGGCUCCAGCCCACGCAAGUGCGGUGCUGCCCCCUUGCCAGGAGGUGCAGGAGACAGCAUGGGCCCGAGUCAGGUCAGAGAGACCCAGGAGGGCCCCCAGGAGCAGACCUGGAGACAGGGCUUCCCGUGCUGGGGUUCCUAAGGGGAUGCCCCGGGGACCAACAAGCUUCAUGCGGUUUGUCCCCUAAGGUCGUGUGCUGGAACCUUGAUCCUCCGUGGUGGUGCUGAGAGGUGAGGGGACCUCUCAGAGUCGGGGCCUGGGGUUGGGGGGAUCCGUGAGUCACAGGGGACCCUGCCCUUGGAAGAGGUUAAGGUGAGUGCUUGUGGGGCCUGCAUCGGUUCUCAGAGUGAGCUGUUCCAAGAGACCCCGACCCCGAGGCCGCACUGGGCCUGUCCAUCCUGAGAAGUGACCUCCUCGUCCCACUCAUUCUCCUGCCGUUGGGAUGCCGUCCCCCAUGAGGCCAAGCCAGAGGCAGCCCUCAGUCUCAAACUGAACCUCCGGGACUGUGGGCUACAUACACCUCUCCUUACCACAGUAACAACAUGAGCUACCCCAGCGCGCUCCGAGGGUAGCAGAGGUAGAACCCGGGAGGGGCUGGGGAGCCCAGCGCAGGAGCGGGGCAGCUGCCUACUCCCUGGUUGGGGGCUGCCCCAGGGGACAUGAACACCAGGCACCCCCUGCCCCAGGAUUAGCACCUGCUGACGCCUGAAGCUGGCUGGAGGCUGCACUGGAGGAAUGGGAUGGGGGCAGGGGGACCCCAUCAGUGUGGGGCACUGAGAGUGUCCACUGACGUCGUUAACCCUCAGGCAAACAGCAGAGCCUGGGCCACCUCCUGGUCCAGAGACUGCCCGCACGUGCAGCCUUCCACAGCCGGAAGUGCCUCUUUCUGCUGCCUGCACAGAAAGGCCACGGAGCACCCCCAUGCUUAUUGAAACAGGGGGGAAAAGGCUUUUGCAUUUCAAAACUAUUAUUGUACUUCACUAGGCUCCCCGGGGCCUCUUGGCCAACAUUGAAAGCCAGAGCCUAACCUGAUUAAUCAACUAUUGAUCGCGCAGCCGUGCACCGUGUGGAGAGGAAGACCACCCAUACCAUCUCCUGUUUACGUCCCUGGGAAGACGGAGGCUCCCCCAGCAAGUGUGGACAGAAAGCUUGUGUCGGCACAGAAGGCAGCAAAGCCAGUGCUUCUGGGAUUGGGCCGCUGCUCCUCCAUUGGGUGGCUGACUCCGAGAGGGGCUCCCGGCCACUCUGCGCAUAUCCGCGUUUACAGCGUGUAAGUGGGACAUGUGAGGGGGUAGUGGAGCGGCUGUGGGCGCCCUGCUCCCACUCUGUCGCUCCCCCUCUUCGUGGAGGAACGACACAGGACCCUGCGCUGUUCUUUCAUCUGCUCGGCCCUCCCCGGGUUUGCUGCUGGUUCUUCCCGGGUUGGCUACCAUCCCUUCCACCUCCGUGGAAGGGCAGUUCCCCCUGGCCACAUUCCCCACUUCCGCAGGGGAGCGGCACACCGCCGGCCGGCUCUCUGGGGGCUGCACAGGUGUUCCCCUUAGAUGUUCCCCUUAGAUGUUCCUGGUGCAUGCCGUCUCUCUCCUCCUUUAUAGUCCUCCUCUGCCAAUCCCAACUCGGCUGCCCACACGCCGAGUACGCUGCUCUCCUCCAAUCAGGAGCAAGUCCUACAGUUUAUUGGCUGAACUGGAGGCAGCUGUGUAGAAGCUGUUUUCUCCUCUCCCAGCGCCAUAUUGUGGGAGAGCAGAUGCAUAGAAUAAGUCUUAAUUCCAGUAACUUAGUCUAGUCCGAGUUGCUCCCCACACCACUCCCCGACUGGGAAGGGAAUGCAAAAGAAAACAAAUCUGGGAGAAGCGUCAGUGCCGUCAGGAGUCUGGUGCUAGCCCUUGCCUGCUUCCUUUUUCCGUUGGUUCACCCCCUAAAUGGCCGCUACGGCCAGCACCCCGCACCUAUCCAAAGCCAGGAGGCAGGUGCUUCCUCCUGGUCUCCCAUGCAGGUGCAGGGCCCAAGCACUUGGGCCAUCCUCCACUGCCUUCCCGGGCCACAGCAGAGAGCUGAACUGGAAGAGGAGCAACCAGGACAGAAUCCAGCUCCCCAACGAGGACUAGAACACAGGGUGCCGGCGUCGCAGGUGGAGGAUUAGCCUAGUGAGCCAUGGUGCCGGCCUGAGUAUGUCUUUAAAAGGGCAGGGGGACAGUAAGCUGAGCUUCUUCCCAUGGAACCAGCAUCCCAUGUGGGCACCAGUUCGUGUCCCAGCUGCUCCUCUUCCAAUCCAGCUCUCUGUUAUGGCCUGGGAAAGCAGCGGAGGAUGGCCCAAGUGCUUGGACCCCUGCACCCAUGUGGCAGACCUAGAUGAAGCUCCUGGCUUCAGAUGGCCCUGCUCUGGCUGUUGCAGCCAUUUGGGGAGUGAACCAGCAGAUGCGAGAUAUCUCUCUCUAACUCUGCCUUUCAAAUAAAUGAAUCUUUUUUAAAAAAGAUUUUAUUUAUUUAUUUGAGAGGUAGAAUUACAGACAGAGAGAUGGCCACAAGAGCCAUGGCUGGGCCAGGCCAAAGCCAGAAGCCUGCAACUCCAUCUGGGUCUCCCACAUGAGUGCAGAGACCCAGGCACUUGGGCCAGCCUCUGCUACUUUCUCCAGCGCAUCAGCAGAGAGCUGGGUUGGAAGCCGAGCAGCCAGGACUCAAACUGGCGCUCUAAUAUAGGCCGCUGGUGUCGCAAGCAUAACCUGCUGUGCCACGAUGCCUGCCCCCUAACUUCUGUUUCUGGUUCGUGUAUGCUUCCAGCAAGUUGAGAUGUCAACACAACUCUACAAAGGCUCCUGUGGCACAUCCGUGAAUAGGGCAGGCGUUCUAGUGGGCGCUGGGGCAGUAGAGGGAGUCAGUCAGUGGCAUACGGUGGAAGACAGAAGGCAAGAAUCACCGUGCGAGGAAGCCUCCCCUGGGAAGGUGGCUUUGAGCAAAGCCUUGUCCAGGACGGGGAAUGAGAUACGUAGCUAGGGAGGGAGGAGCGGUUUCCAUGUGCUUGGGGUAGCCUCUGCGAACCCACCAAUGCUACAGAAACAAGUGGCUGAUAUGCAGUGAGUGGAAGGUUUGGAUGAUGAAAUGGAUGAGGCUGAGGUUUCCAGGAGCCACCUUGCCCCCCAAAAGCCACCACAUGACACACGGGGAGAGCCCAGAAUAGAGUAAAAUAAGCAAAGACAAACAGAGGCCCCUGGAUCUAGCCAUGCCUGAAGCAGCAUCCACCCACACUGUUUCAGUGCUGAGAUGACACAGUCCCUGUUUAGGUCACUUGUAACUGGAAGAGUCCUGGAUCCCAAGUGCCUAGGGCACCUGAGCUGCUAUGCCCACCAUGGGAUUCCCAGGGCACCUGCUGGCCGGUCCUAGGCAAGGGGAACUCCAGCCUCCGAGGGUGAGACCUGGCAUCCAUGCCUGCAGAGGGUGCCUGGGCAGCUGACAGGUGAGAAGGAACCUUUCAGAUUUGCAAUUUUCAAGUGUCAGAAGGAUAUGGUGCCGCUCCUGUGACACCCGGCGUCUCAGGCGGACUUGCCCCGUUUCCCAUCAACACGUCUGCUGUGGGAGGCGUGGCCUUUGCACUCCUGUGAUCUGGAACCCACAGCUGAGAAUGAGCUCCAGGCACCCGCUUCCGUGGCAAGUCACAUCCACGGGACAGACCCUUCUUCAAUUACCGCAGCUGUCCACCCGCCCGUUCCACUCGGCAAGUGCUUGGAACAGCUGCGCCGGAAGAUGCUGUGGAGACGGAGAAGCACACGCGCCAGCCCCUGAAAGAGCGGAUAAGCCAGUGGGCGCGUGGCCCUCAAGCUCUGCUCAUUCUCUGGGUCCCUUGUAAAUGCAAGACAGCAGGUGCCGGGGCCAGAGCCCCAAACGAGAGAGGGGUAGGAGCCUGUGUCCUACCUGGGUGUGCCCGCUCAACCACCUGAAGACACAGCACCCAGCACAAUGGGCAGGACCCCAGUUCUUGGAGAGCUUGUGUUCUGCUAGGGCACAAACAUAAUAAAGAGAAAUUAUUUUCUUCAAGGAUGAUUCCUGACGGCAGGUGUUUGACUAGCUGUUAAGACAAUGCUUGGGGGCCGGCGCCAUGGCUCACUAGACUAAUCCUCCACCUUGUAGUGCCAGCA